CUGCCGCUGAUUCUGCUGUUGGAGAACAUUGGCCUUUACUUCUACUAUAAGGGCAAGAGGGGGCAGAGGCCGAGCAGACGGGAGAAGGCUGAGCCGGAUUAUUAUAACCUGGGUGUUCCUGCAGCUGAAGAGGAAGGAGCUCAGGGAGCAGAGUAGCACCUCCAAGGAGCUCAUCUCACAUCCAGAUGGAUUUAUAACACAACCCAGCAGCAGCUCAUUUUAGACGCAUGUUCCCUUUAAACAAGAAGGCUGCUUCUAUUCUAUUACAUCAUAUACUAUAUCUGUUUCACUCUCAACAUGAAAACCAACAAUGUGUUAGUCUCUUGUAGCCCAUUGGUUCCUCCUGAAGAUGUAAAUCUCUAAAAACACCUCACAAACAUAAAGUGUCAUUGAAAACUAGACUUGAAAGCAGGAAUACCGGAGUCCGACCCAGGCCGACCGGGAACAGUGCUUUAUAUUAAAUUAAGAUAAAUGUAGAACAUUGAUAUAUAUCCUCUAAAGUCUGUAUUACCUGUCAAAUCUGAAGACAAUUGAAGAAUGAAAUCCUGAGAUCAGAGUAAAAACAUGUUGGAUCUGUAGAUCUGGAGCACAUCCAGGGUUGGUGAAGCACAUCUGCUGCCACGUUGACAAUCUGUUGGUGUUUGUGAUUCAAAAAUAUCUAUAAUGAAUGAAUCAAAGUCAUGUAGCCAGCAAACAAAGCAGAGUAUUAAAAACCAGAGGCUGUUUUCACACCAGUUUCAUCUGGUUAGUGACACAUGAACUUUAUGAGCUCACUUUAGCGCUCCCUUGUGGUUCACAUGGCUCAUUUAUUGUUGUGAGCAGGACCACAUUUAGCU